rnacentral:rRNA from 1 species
GGUCGCGAUCAUACCAGCACUAAUGCACCGGAUCCCAUCAGAACUCCGGAGUUAAGCGUGCUUGGGCGAGAGUAGUACUAGGAUGGGUGACCCCCUGGGAAGUCCUCGUGUUGCAACCC